rnacentral:rRNA from 1 species
AGUGAACGCUGGCGGCAGGCCUAACACAUGCAAGUCGAACGGCAGCACAGUAAGAUCUUGCUCUUACGGGUGGCGAGUGGCGGACGGGUGAGGAAUAAAUCGGAAUCCACUUUUUCGUGGGGGAUAACGUAGGGACACUUACGCUAAUACCGCAUAUGACCUACGGGUGAAAGCAGGGGAUCUUCGGACCUUGCGCGAUUGAAUGAGCUGAUGUCGGAUUAGCUAGUUGGCGGGGUAAAGGCCCACCAAGGCAACGAUCCGUAGCUGGUCUGAGAGGAUGAUCAGCCACACUGGAACUGAGACACGGUCCAGACUCCUACGGGAGGCAGCAGUGGGGAAUAUUGGACAAUGGGCGCAAGCCUGAUCCAGCCAUACCGCGUGGGUGAAGAAGGCCUUCGGGUUGUAAAGCCCUUUUGUUGGGAAAGAAAAGCAGCAGGUUAAUACCCCGCUGUUCUGACGGUACCCAAAGAAUAAGCACCGGCUAACUUCGUG